UGGCUCAGUAGGUAGAGCACGUGACUCUCAAUCUCUCUCGGGGUUGUGGGUUCGAACCCCAC
rnacentral:tRNA from 1 species